rnacentral:rRNA from 1 species
GAUGAACGCUGGCGGCGUGCCUAAUACAUGCAAGUCGAGCGAACGGACGAGAAGCUUGCUUCUCUGAUGUUAGCGGCGGACGGGUGAGUAACACGUGGAUAACCUACCUAUAAGACUGGGAUAACUUCGGGAAACCGGAGCUAAUACCGGAUAAUAUUUUGAACCGCAUGGUUCAAAAGUGAAAGACGGUCUUGCUGUCACUUAUAGAUGGAUCCGCGCCGCAUUAGCUAGUUGGUAAGGUAACGGCUUACCAAGGCAACGAUGCAUAGCCGACCUGAGAGGGUGAUCGGCCACACUGGAACUGAGACACGGUCCAGACUCCUACGGGAGGCAGCAGUAGGGAAUCUUCCGCAAUGGGCGAAAGCUUGACGGAGCAACGCCGCGUGAGUGAUGAAGGUCUUCGGAUCGUAAAACUCUGUUAUUAGGGAAGAACAAAUGUGUAAGUAACUAUGCACGUCUUGACGGUACCUAAUCAGAAAGCCACGGCUAACUACGUG